rnacentral:rRNA from 1 species
UACGAAGGUGGCAAGCGUUACUCGGAAUUACUAGGCGUAAAGGGCAGGUAGGUGGUUUGGUUAGUCUGUUGUGAAAGCUCCUUGCUUAACGGGGAGAGGCCAACAGAUACUGCCAGGCUUGAGUAUAGGAGAGGGUACUGGAAUUCCCGGUGUAGCGGUGAAAUGCGCAGAGAUCGGGAGGAACACCAAUGGCGAAAGCAGGUACCUGGACUAUUACUGACACUAAGCUGCGAAAGCUAGGGGAGCAAACAGG